rnacentral:lncRNA from 1 species
UGUAACUUAUCUUUUAUUUUAUACACAGCCACCACUCCGAGCAAAGAUUCUCCAACCGAGAUUGAGUCUCCACCAGAAACUAUUUCUGAUGCCCCGCCUUCUUCCUCGGUAAAAUAUCAUUUCUCUACUCAUCUUAAUCAUAAUCUUUUUCUCUGCUCAUCAUUUUUGUUUAUUUCUGUUUUCAGUCGAUUCCUGCUUCUCCAUCGGUCUCAGCUUCAGACAAAAGACCGAUUGAAGUUGUUCAAGUCACUCCCCCGCCGUCUUCCAAACGGCGUUAAUCA